CUGUAAUUGCUGCACAUGGAGGUGCAGCAAGCAGAAAUCCCUGCACCUCCACCUAACAGGCUCCAGGGAAGGACUUCAGGCCAGGGAAUCCACUCCUCCAGCCCACACUCUCUGUAAGUAUAAGAGUGUAUGUCUGUACGUAACUGCCUGAAACCGUGUGUGUGUGUGUGUGUGUGUGUGUGUAACUGCCUGAAACCGUGUGUGUGUGUGUGUGUAACUGCCUGAAACCGUGUGUGUGUAACUGCCUGAAAC